rnacentral:rRNA from 1 species
UACAAUGGCAGGUACAGAGGGAUGCUACCGGGCGACCGGAUGCGGAUCUCGAAAGCCUGUCCCAGUUCGGACUGGAGUCUGCAACCCGACUCCACGAAGUUGGAUUCGCUAGUAAUCGCGCAUCAACCAUGGCGCGGUGAAUACGUUCCCGGGCCUUGUACACACCGCCCGUCAAGCCAUGGGAGCCGGGGGCGCCUGAAGUCCGGGACCGCGAGGACCGGCCUAGGGCGAAACUGGUAACUGGGGCUAAGUCGUAACAAGGUACC